AGCACGCACUACUGCAAGUCGCUUUGGAUAAAAGCAUCUGCGAAACAGCAUAUA
rfam:Salmo salar isolate Sally breed double haploid chromosome ssa18, whole genome shotgun sequence.